rnacentral:tRNA from 1 species
AUGGACGGGCAAAGAAUCUCCAUUACGGAACCUUUCGCAGUUCAUAUCAUU